rnacentral:lncRNA from 1 species
UCCUCCCUCGCUUUUGGAGCUCCGACCUCAGCUUCGCCUGCGAGCUGGGUUGUGUAAAGGCUGGUCAUUUUGGGGCGCUUAGGGGUGGGUGCCGGGGGGCGCGCUUUCCCUCGUGAAGGUCGCUCCAGGAGUCAUGCGUACAUUCGUUCAUUUUGCUCUGGACGCACUGAUGUUCCCGGCUCGCCGCCGUGCCGCAGUCACGAGGCUCUCCGAACGCCUUUCACUGUGUUUCUGUUUACAUUCGCGUCUGCAAGACCCGGCGGCGCGACCGAGGCCCGAACAGAUGGAGAUGGGCUGCCAUGUUGUGAGCUGCCCCAUGGGGAAGAGGCUCACAUGUGAGGAACUGAGGGAGGCCUCCAGAAAACAGCCAGUGAAGAACUGAGACCCUCAGUCCAAUAGCCUAUGAGGAACUGAAUCCUGCUGACAACCAUAUGAAUGAGCUUGGAAGCAGAUCCUUCCCCAGUGAAGCCUUCAUGUGAGACUGCAGCCCACUUGACACUUUGAUUUGUAGCUUGUGACAGACCCCAAGCCAGAAGAGUCAGGUAAGCAGUGCCUGCACUCCUGACCCAUGGCAACUGGCAUGAUAAAUGUUUUUUCCCAUGAA